GACGAACGCUGGCGGCGUGCUUAACACAUGCAAGUCGAGCGGAGCGGCGAACGGGUGAGUAACGCGUGAGUAACUGCCCACCUCUCUGGGAUAACAGUUGGAAACCGGUGCCAAUACCGGAUAGUGGGGGCUGACUCGCGUCCUAUACGCUUGUUGGGGUGGUAGUGGCCGAACAAGGCUACGACGGGUAGCCGGCCUGAGAGGGCGACCGGACACAGUGGGAUGAGUCACGGACCCAUCUCCAACGGGAGGCAGCAGUCGGGAAGAUUGCACAAUGGGGGAAACCCUAAUGCAGUAACGUCGCGGGCGUGAUGACGGCCUUCGGGUUGUAAACCGCGUUAAGCCAUGACGCGUGAGUGGCAGAAGAAGCACCGGCUAACUGCGUGCCAGCAGCCGCGGUGAUUC
rnacentral:rRNA from 1 species